AUAGGAAAUUAUUUCCAAUUCGUGACAUCCAAAAGACGAUUGACUCAGAUUUAUCUCCUUGUAGUGCAAGCUGAAAAUGGAGACCUGCAAGGUUAUCCCUAUCCGUCACCGCCAGCAGCAGCAGAAGUUCCAGUCUCAAUAGAGUCUGUGUCUAAAGAGCACAACAACAAAGGUCAUGGUGGAGCAGUAACAAUGCCCACAGAGAAUAGCCACCUCCAGACUGUGGCUGUAAGUGCAUCCCCAGGGACAGAUUUGUUCCAUACGCCACAUGAAAGGCACAAUUUCACGAACGCCACAACUGCUGAAGAUGCAAUUGCUACUUCAUCAACUGGAGUCUUUGUUUGGAAAGAGGGCUCCGAUUUACCUAUGCCAGCUGAGGCCACUGAAGCAAAUCUCACAUUGAUCUCUAAUUAUGAAGCUGGAUUUGAAUCGAUGAAGAAUGGCACCGUGAUGCCUGUGGUUCAUUUGUCCAAAGGCGUGGAGGAAGAGAAAGAGAAAGCCUCAGAAUUGCCGCUUCACUCUCUACUUGUUAACAGGAAUCAAAGAAUCGCUGAGUCUAUCACUCUUAUGUCCACACGACGGAGGCUGGGAGUACCUAUGGUGACUGCCACUCGUCCUCACAUAAUUGAUAACUGGGCCAAGUCAAAUGACAAUGAGGAAAAACGAGGCCAAGACGCAGAUGAAAAUGGGAUUUUGGAAUUGAGUGAGUCAGAAUCCAUCUUGCAUGACAGAAAGGAAGUUUCUUUGACUACGGAGCGCGUGAUGACAAACAUGUGUUUGAAUUGCCUGCAAGAAAAAAGGCCAUCGUCAACAGAAGAAAUGGCUGUUCUGUCUGCGUUGUUCGACCGAGGCAGCUCACUCAGUCUUGGAGGAAAUGGAAAUAUGCUUACUGUAAACUCCAGUCACCACAAGGCCUCAAUGCCGAGCUCAUUUGAAGCGACAACAAAGAAACAAGAGGACAGAACAGUAUUAUUUGAUGGUGCCAAAACAUCCAAAAAGAGCACAUUUGAUUUCUCUGUAAAUCUUUUGGAUGGGCUAGAUUAUGAGUUCAUACCACCCCUUUCCUCAUUAAACUCUGAAAUGAAUCUCAGUAAAACCAUGUUGAAUGAUUCAUUUGCUAGUACAUCUUUCUCAAACUCGGGAACGAUUGAAGUCAAGGCAAACACAACCAGAACAGUGUUUCUUACUUCAAAGGUGGAAAAUAUGACAGUUUCCAGAUUGAGUGAUAUUAGCAAAUCUUUUGAUAAAAGGUUGUUAUCAACAACCAGCAUGCCUUAUCCUUUAACUUCAGAGAUCUUUCACACUUUAUUAUUAUCAUUGAGAGAUAAAGAAGAAAAUAUAUCUGGGAAGACUGUGAAUCUCAGAAACCAGUCAAAAUUGGUUUCUCAAAUCCAAGAUAAUUCAUCUGUAAAACUACAAAACAUAUCCUCCGGUUUACGACAUAGUUUUCUUGGCAAUCACACAUUGGCGGGUGUUGACAUUACAAAUAAGGACACAGAGUUUAGUUUAGAAGAUGGGGGAAGGGAAGAGCGGGAGCAUGCUGUUGGGCAAGUUAUGACAAUUCCUCUCACCAAUGCUCCAUCUCCUUCUGUCCAUGUUCUCUCUGACCAGAACAUUGAAAACAGUGGGGUUAAUGACCCCAUCAGUGGGGCUAAUGACCCCAACAAUGGAUCAAUGAUAAGUGGUAUGCUAGACUCGUUUAAUUCUCUCUUUAGUCAAGCUCGUGAAAUAAUCACAGCAAAAAGCCACACCACUGACCACAUUGACGUUUCAGCCUUGCCUAUGAGAAUGCCAUCAAUCGAAAGCCAAAGUGCAACAACAUCCUUCCGCUCUACGAGGCAGACCACGGCAGCUGUCAAAGUUCCUCCUGCCUCUCAGGCUCUGACAGGGAGUGCGAAAUCUUUGAUGUCUGUGUUGAGUACCACUGGCUACCUGCCAGCACAGCCCAGUGUUCUGUUCAAAGAGCAGCAGCCUAUGAGCCUCCUGCCAGACGUCCCUAACAUGCAACGUGCAUCUGUAACUAUGAUGAGAACAUUGUCCAAAAAGCCGUUUGCCGACAAUGCAAACGGUAUUGAUAAACGGACUGCGCCUCCAGUUGUUUUGUCACAGACAGUGAAGCCAAGUGCUAAAGUAAAUGCUCAGUUGCCCAGAACAACAGAGAAAGGACUUACGUUUUCCACAAAGCGUAUUUCUGAAACCACAAGUAAGUUAGACAUUUAUGUGUCCACCAUGAUGACGACAAGAACACACGUCGAUGUGAAAAGGUCAACCGAGCAAAGACUUGCCGUAGGUCGCGGUGACAUCAAGUCGAGUGGUGACACCUUUCGAAUCUCUGCCGACAGUGCUGGGAACCUUGAACCACCUAAAGAAUUGAAAAAUGUGAACAUACUAAAGCUGAAAAACAACAGAGGACAGGAGUCUGACUUCUCUCAGCCUCAAGGUUCUCUUGAGGAGGUGACAGAAAUGACAAUGGACAAGAGCAGUACUGUUCACCAUGGGAUAAUGAAAACCACAGAAAGGCUGGCUCGAGAGGAAAAACGCACCUCUCCAAACUUGUCUCCCUCCCAUCUUUUAAUGAAACUGUUGGGAGCAACGGCAAGAGACAUUCAUCGGGCUGAAAAUCUCUCUGAAUCGCUGGAAGACGAAAAUAAGUCAUUCUCUAGCCAAGCGCCAAGUCAUAAAAUGCCAGUGCAGACUGUGAUAACCCCAAGCCAGACACUAUCACGAAUGGUAUCUUUUAAUAAGAAACCACAUAUUGUGUCUAAACCACAGCAAUUCUCUACCCAUAGGGUCACGCUUACAAAAUAUGCCGAUGCGUCAACAAACCAUAAGCAAAGCAAUCAGCAAAGGCACUCAACAAAAGGUAAAAAACAAGUGUUUUUGACGACUUCCUCGCGGAGCACAGGCCCUCCAAAUCAAAUCAGAAAUGUGAAUGUAACAUUUGACGUCUCUCCAGAGAGUGUGAAAUCAACAUUUUCUACACCUGACAGUGUUGGAAAUCUGUUUUCACUUACCGCUGCAAAAUCAUUAAUCCCAGUUGGGCAGUCAACUAUUCAGCCUAAUAUUGCAGUAAAGACAUCUACUUCCCACACAUCAGUAAUUCAACAUGUUUCAGCUCAAAAGCAUCACAUAAGCAUUUCGACAUCAACAACAUCAGGAAACUCAGUCUCUCAGUCCAUAACUGUUGGAAAACAUCUACAGCGUGUAGGACCGGCGACACCUCUCUUUGACAUUGUUAAAGAGGACGUCAUGACCUCUGACAUCACUGAAGCAUUAAAGGGGAGCCACCUUGUUCCCCUCUUACCGCCUCGUCCGUAUAAUGACACAUCGACUAGUCCACCCACCGACAAUUACUCGCCCACAGGGCCACUUACCGCCAGCCUGGCUUUGCAUCAUCGCCAAGGGCAAUCUUCUUCUGAGAUAAUGCCUUUCGGCGCUCCAUCUCAAAGCCAAUGGGACUCGUUUACAGAUUCGGAGGAGAAAGAGGAACGGCAUUCAAAUGCCUCACAUGCUUCUGCCGAUAACGAGCAAAUAAGCCCUUCAGAGGCUCCAAUAGUGCAUGAAGUGAAAAGUGAGCAUUCUGGGUUUAGCACAUGGACGGCGCCGUUCGCUACCGAUAGUUCUGCCACCAGCCACAUUAACUUAACUCAAUCACGACCUGAUGAGACCAUGGGAUUGAGGGCCAAGGAACCCGCCCUGCCACGUGCACUACUGCACCAGACCACUAAUGGGGUUGGGAAUGACCAUGCUUUGUCUGGAGUAAGUCCAGCGCAUGAGUCUGGUAGAAAGCUCCUGGGUUCUGGGAGUGGGUCAGAUCCAUUGGCCUUGCACCAGAGAAUUGGGUUAUCAUCCCCUGAUCUCCUCACUGGGUAAUUAUCACAGGAUAUUUCAUUUAAUUAACAAAAUAAUGUAUUGUGAUAUUAAAAAGUGCAUUCUAAUAUUAACAUUCAACAUUAGUUAGUCAAGUUAUUUGAAUUGAAUUGGAUAGGCGGUAACACUUUACCUUAAGUUAACUUAACUAUACCUAUGCGACUACACAGUAAUAUAGAUCUUUUUUUAAACAUGUAUUUGCAUCACAAGUGCUUUUUUAAUUCAUAGGCUUCAUGUUUGUUCUAAUCUGUUUUCAGAUUAGCGGUCAUUUCCGAUGAUAUUUGUGCCACUGGAAACUACACGGCCGAGAUGAACUUGAACCUGGAGCGCGACGUUCUGCCCGGAGACUUGGUCCCGGCUCUGGGGAUUCUCCACGUGGUCAUCAACCUGAAAACCAACAACAGCCAGGUGAACCUAGAGAUAAAGUCCUGCUGUCUCUCGCCCACUGUUCAGCUUGAUGACAUCAACAUAACCUGUUAUGUGUUUUCCAGGUAGGUGUUCAUAUUGUUGUGUUUCAUAUAUGGAAUAUCUCCAGCAGCCCGACUACCAACAGCUCCAGAAUGGGACUAAACUCUCAAUGCUGACUAACAUUCCAAUCAAGUCAAAUAAUGUCCUGGAAUCAAAUUGAUCCAGGUUAGCAGGCAUGUGUUAAAUGUUGGAAUAUUUUUGUUCGCCGUAUAUAGACGGCACCGCCCAAGGCUUGCUUGCUGAUGGUCUUAUCGCAGUUAAUUAAGCAGCAUUUCUGGGAUGGAUGGCAAAUUAAACAUUUAGAGAGAGCAGAGCGAGAAAAAAAAAGAAAAGAAAAAACUCAUGUCUACCAACAGUAAAUAAACUCUUUAGCUGUGGACUACCACCACUUCCUAUAUCUGAACAGGGACGUUUAAUUUACUUGGAAAAGUGUUGACAAGGAAGAGGGGUGUCUUUUUAGUUAGGAUGGGGAUUGAAGGACAGUGAAACAUGUCUCCUUACGGUCAGGUUUGCUCCCAGACCAAUCUGAACUCCGCUUAUGUUGGCUGAGUAGCCUAUCAUUUCCAAAGAUCCAUCUUUUAAGUCUGAUAAAUCCCUGAAUUAGUGCUGAAUAUGCUUUUAUCAAAUGACUUGUCUUAAAAUCAUAUGGCAUAAACACAUCCUCAUCAGAGUUUUAGGAGAGGGGGCAUUUAUGCAGACUCAUAACCUCAAAUGGCAAGGCCUUCAUGAUCAAUAUGAACAGGAAGUCAAUGAUAACCACCAACUCCAUUGUUCCACUCUUCUUUACUUUGUGUUGACUUGCGGUUGUCGGAAACAUUUGGGACCUUUGCUAUUUGAAUUACACUCACUAUCAAAUUCACUUCAAAACAAAGUUCGGUGUCGUUCCAAUCAAAUGUCCUGUGAACGUUUUUAUGCUUCUGUCGACCGACACUCAACCCCCCCUCUCAGUCCCACAGUUGUUGUGAUUUGUUGUGUGAACUUCCAGGUUACCGCUGAACCCGCGAGGAAUCAGGCUGUUACCCAGCAUCCUGUCAAAGCGCGCCAGCUUCACCAUCAGUCUCUUCCAGAUGAUUAAUUACUCCAUGGCAUACCUACACUGCGAUCUGAGCAUCUGCCUCAGGAACCAUACCGAGUGUGAGAGGGUGAGACUGGGAUGCUAGUAGUAAGGGCGAGGCAAUUUUAUCGCAUGCACCGAUCAGUUAAGGAAGAGGUGGGGAGUAUGGGAUGUAGGAGAGGGGAAAUUGUGUGGGUUAGACUACGGUUCGGGCACACAGGUCUGAAUGCCAAGUUGUGGAUGAUGGGGAGACAUGAAACAGGUCUGUGUGAUGUGUGUUCAGUGGGGGAAAUGGGGGAGCAUGUGUUGAUAUUUUGUGAACUGUGUGACGUCGACAGGGAGAAUUUGUGUGAAAGAGUUAGAGAUCCUGGACAGGGUUGGGGCUUUGGGUGGUGUAGUGGGAGGAGGAAAGGGGAGGGAGGUGGUGUCUAGGGCUCUAUUUCACUUUUCUUAGAGCCAUUGGGGGAAACAAGGAGACUUACUGAGAUACUGAGAUGGAGAUGCCCCCCCCCCAUUGGAAUAGCUGGAGAUGGAACAUUCUCAUAAAGCUACAUUUCUUUCAAUUUCUAUUGUUUAGCCUGUAGCCUAGCCUAGCGAGCCGCCUUCAAGUUGAUAAUAGGCCUUUUAUGUGUUGUUUAGUAUGUUGCCUAGCAUUAGAUCUAGUGUGCUGCCUUCAAGCUCAAAAUAGGCCUUUAUGUGUUGUUUGAGGUAUAUAGCCUUGCAUGUAGCCUUCAAACUAAAACCUCACUAUUGUUAGAAGAUUAAUUAUGUGCUGUAUAAAAUUAUUUAUUUCCAGUGACAUUGAUAUCAAACAACAACAACAACAACAACUGAGGCAACAUGUUUGAGGCAUGUUAAUAACAGAGGAGUGAUGUACACUACACUAUGCACCUGGAAAGAGACCCGGAAACAUCGUAAUUACCGGUUAUCUCCUCCAACUCAUCGUUUUCCACACACACACACACGCCAUGUUUUUCUCUGUUCUGACUGCAGCAGUGUCUUCAGCACAGAGACCUCUUCUCUGAAGAGGGUCCAGAGGCUAUCACCAAUCUGAGGAACCGCAUAUCCUUUGGUCCCAUGUUGAAAGGAGCAGAGAAUUCUUCUCUCCCGGGGGAGAUGGAUACAGCAGCUGAGAUGGAGAUUAUGCUUGUCAUCCUGGGGAUGGUGGUGGGGUGUUCGCUGAUGACAGGGACCCUGCUGCUUCUCUGGAUGGCCUAUAGACGGCGGAGGGCCGAUUGGAUGGUUUACUCAGAGUCCAGAGCGUGCUGCGGCUGCCUGCGUAGAGGAGACAUGAUCUUACCAUAGCCAAGUAGGAGACAAUGGUCAAUCACGUCAUCCUGCAGACCAGACCAGACCCUGACCAGAAUCAAUCCAAUUCACUCCUAUCAUACGUGACACCCGGGCCGAGCUUCUGUGGUCCCAUAUCUCACUCCCUUCACCGUCGCAGUGAAUGCCUUACCUUUACACUGUAGUAAUAUGACACAUAAACACAUGUACAGAACAGAUUACCUGAUGGUCGAUUAUCUUGGUCAAUUUUUUUGCAUGGUAACAAUUGCUAAUUCACCAAACAACUGUGCACAGUGAAGAUGAAUUGACGAUCAAGAGUGUUUUAUGAUCAUGUGAAUGCACCAUAUUAUUAUUUCUAGUCUCUUGUACUAAGUCCUCUAACCCUGCCACUAUCUGGAAGUAAUUGUUUGUUAAAAAAAAGUUUAUUAUCCUCUCAAUGAUUCUCAAUCAUCAUCUCAAGCAUGACGCAUAUUAUCAUACCAAUUCUGGCCAAUUGCUUUUAAAAACAAUACAGAUCACGGGCUACUUUCACUAAGACACCAAUGACACCGACAACUUAUUAACAUCCCUGUCUGCACUACUUCAUCAUGCACCAUAUUACCUCAAAUGCUACAACAGUUUGUUCCUGAUUUGCCACAACCUCAAAUGAUUAAACAACUUCC